rnacentral:rRNA from 1 species
UACGUAGGGUGCGAGCGUUAAUCGGAAUUACUGGGCGUAAAGCGUGCGCAGGCGGUUCUGAAAGUCAGCUGUGAAAGCCCCGGGCUUAACCUGGGAAUGGCGGUUGAAACUACAGGACUAGAAUCUGGCAGAGGGGGGUGGAAUUCCACGUGUAGCAGUGAAAUGCGUAGAGAUGUGGAGGAACACCGAUGGCGAAGGCAGCCCCCUGGGCUAACACUGACGCUCAUGCACGAAAGCGUGGGGAGCAAACAGG